rnacentral:rRNA from 1 species
UACGGGGGGGGGCAAGCGUUGUUCGGAAUUACUGGGCGUAAAGGGCCAGUAGGCGGCCAACUAAGUCCGACGUGAAAUCCCAAGGCUUAACCUUGGAACUGCGUCGGAUACUGGAUGGCUUGAAUUCGGGAGAGGGAUGCAGAAUUCCAGGGUGUAGCAGUGAAAUGCGUAGAUAUGCGGAGGAACACCGAUGGCGAAGGCAAUCCCCUGGGCCUGCACUGACGCUCAUGCACGAAAGCGUGGGGAGCAAACAGG